CCCAGUGGUAGUCAGCCGCUGUGCUUGCAGGUGCCGGCGGUGGUAUUACGGGGCUGGGAGAUGAAGACGCUGCCGUCCAAUGCCGGCCCACGCUGCCCCUGUUCUGGGGGCGCGUGGUGCCGGACCCCGGCAUUGUCGCGCUUCCUCGAGAGUGCGCCGCACCCCGAUCUUGGCUGUUGGCGCUAGUCUGGAAGCGUACAGA